GCGGUUGUGGCGGAAUUGGCAGACGCGCAAGACUAAGGAUCUUGUGGGCGACCGUGCAGGUUCAACUCCUGUCAACCGCACCA
rnacentral:tRNA from 3 species